CGUAUCUCCAGCAUAAACGAGGUACCAUCUCCGACCAUACCACUUUCACGCCAGGGACAAGCCCCCUUAGUCUGUCAACGUCCUGCUUCAUACACUUAACCAGUUCACGUUGGGGGACCAGACCCAAGUCGUUUCCCCCCCCCGUGAAUUACCACCACGUUCGGCAAGGGCUCCUCCGCUACCUUCCGAAACAAUACCGUAAUAAUGUGCUGCCAGUCAAACCCCCGAUAACCGAACCAGAAUAACGCCACCCGAUCCUCAGGAAAGCCCAGCUGUGUUCCAUG